AACGAACGUUAGCGGCGCGCCUAACACAUGCAAGUCGCACGAGAAAGGGCUUCGGCCCCGGUAAAGUGGCGCACGGGUGAGUAACACGUGGGUAACCUUCCCUCGAGCGGGGGAUAACCUUCCGAAAGGAGGGCUAAUACCGCAUAAGACCACGGGGUGUGAAUCCCUGAGGUCAAAGCUGGCCUCUAUACAUAAGCUAGCACUUGAGGAUGGGCCCGCGGCGCAUCAGCUUGUUGGUGGGGUAAUGGCCUACCAAGGCGAAGACGCGUAGCUGGUCUGAGAGGAUGAUCAGCCACACUGGAACUGAGACACGGUCCAGACUCCUACGGGAGGCAGCAGUGGGGAAUCUUGCGCAAUGGACGAAAGUCUGACGCAGCGACGCCGCGUGGGUGAUGAAGG
rnacentral:rRNA from 1 species